rnacentral:rRNA from 1 species
CGGGGGGAGCAAGCGUUGUUCGGAUUUACUGGGCGUAAAGGGCGCGUAGGCGGCCACCGCAAGUCGACUGUGAAAUCUCCGGGCUUAACCCGGAAAGGUCAGCCGAUACUGCGGGGCUAGAAUGCAGAAGGGGCAACUGGAAUUCUCGGUGUAGCGGUGAAAUGCGUAGAUAUCGAGAGGAACACCUGCGGCGAAGGCGGGUUGCUGGACUGACACUGACGCUGAUGCGCGAAAGCUAGGGGAGCGAACGGGAUUAGAUACCCCGGUAGUCCCUAGCCUUAAACGAUGAAUGCUUGGUGUCUGGGGUUUUAUAGUCCCCGGGUGCCGUCGCUAACGCUUUAAGCAUUCCGCCUGGGGAGUACGGUCGCAAGACUG